rnacentral:rRNA from 1 species
UGGAAAACGGGUGGUAAUGCCGGAUGCUCCAGUUGAUCGCAUGGUCUUCUGGGAAAGCUUUCGCGGUAUGGGAUGGGGUCGCGUCCUAUCAGCUUGACGGCGGGGUAACGGCCCACCGUGGCUUCGACGGGUAGCCGGCCUGAGAGGGCGACCGGCCACAUUGGGACUGAGAUACGGCCCAGACUCCUACGGGAGGCAGCAGUGGGGAAUAUUGCACAAUGGGCGCAAGCCUGAUGCAGCGACGCCGCGUGAGGGAUGGAGGCCUUCGGGUUGUAAACCUCUUUUAUCGGGGAGCAAGCGAGAGUGAGUUUACCCGUUGAAUAAGCACCGGCUAACUACGUGCCAGCAGCCGCGGUAAUACGUAGGGUGCAAGCGUUAUCCGGAAUUAUUGGGCGUAAAGGGCUCGUAGGCGGUUCGUCGCGUCCGGUGUGAAAGUCCAUCGCUUAACGGUGGAUCCGCGCCGGGUACGGGCGGGCUUGAGUGCGGUAGGGGAGACUGGAAUUCCCGGUGUAACGGUGGAAUGUGUAGAUAUCGGAA